CACAAGGUCAAGAGAUCGAAAUAAUCCUGGCCAACAUGGUGAAAUCCCAUCUCUACUAAAAAUACAAAAAUUAGCUGGGCGUGGUGGUGUGCGCCUGUAGUUCCAGCUAUUCGGGAGGCUGAGGCAGAAGAAUCGCUUGAACUCGGGAGGCAGAGAUUGCAGUGAGCCGAGACUGCACCACUGCACUCCAGCCUGGUGACAGAGCGAGACUCCAUCUCAAAAAACAAACAAACAAACAAACAAAAAACCAAAAACAUAUCGUGCUAAUUUUUCUGCCUUUUGAUUUGAAAGUUUAAUCUAUUUACAUAAAGUAAUAACUGAUAAGAAAGUACUACUUAUGCCAUUUUGCUCUUUGUUUUCUGUAUGUCUUUUAAAAAAAUUCUUAACCUUUGUGUAAAUACUACCAGAGCAAGACUUUUCUAAAAUGUCAAAAAACAACAGGUGUUGGUGAGGAUGCAGAGAAAAGGGAAACUCAUACACUGCUGAUGGGAAUGCAAACCAGUACAACUUCUAUGGAAAACGAUAUGGAGACUCUCAAAGAACUAAAAGCAGAACCAUCAUUCCGUCCAGCAAUCCCACCACUGGUCAUCUACCCAAAGAUGAUUGGACAAAGAAAAUAUGGUAUAUGUAUACCAUGGAAUACCACUCAGCCAUUAAGAAAAAGAAUGAAAUCAUGUUUUUUGUAGCAACAUGGUUGGAACUGGAGGCCGUUAUCUUCAGUGAAAUAACUCCGAAAUGGAAAGUCAAAUACCACAUGUUCUCACCCAUAAGUGGGAGCCAAACAAUGUGUACACAUGGACAUGGAGUGUGGAACAAUAGACACUGGAGACUUGGAAAGGUGGGAGGGUUCGAGGGGGGUAAGGAAUGUACAAUUGUACCUUUUGGGCACAAUUGUAGACUAUCUGGGUGAUGGGGACACUGAAAGCCC
rnacentral:lncRNA from 1 species